rnacentral:rRNA from 1 species
GUGAGGAAUUUUCCGCAAUGGGCGAAAGCCUGACGGAGCAAUGCCGCGUGAAGGAUGAAGGCCUAUGGGUUGUAAACUUCUUUUCUCAGAAAAGAAUUAUGACGGUAUCUGAGGAAUAAGCAUCGGCUAACUCUGUGCCAGCAGCCGCGGUAAGACAGAGGAUGCAAGCGUUAUCCGGAAUGAUUGGGCGUAAAGCGUCUGUAGGUUGUUUAAAAAGUAUUCUGUCAAAGAUUAGGGCUUAACCCUAGAUAGGCAGAAUAAACUUUUAAGCUAGAGUUUGGUAGAGGCAGAGGGAAUUCCCGGUGGAGCGGUGAAAUGCGUAGAUAUCGGGAGGAACACCAAAGGCGAAGGCACUCUGCUGGGACAAUACUAACACUGAGAGACGAAAGCGAGGGGAGCAAAUGGGAUUAGAUACCCCGGUAGUCC